ACGGAGUGAUCUUUCCCUCUUAUGAAAGCCGGUAUCUCACUUUCGAAAGAGAGUCUCGACGUGGCGGUGUAGACCUAGCUCCAUAGCUGGGCUAGUCACUGGCUAGAGGGCGACCGACCUACCGGACUCUCGACGUGGAGGUGUAGACCUAGCUCCAUAGCUGGGCUAGUCAAUGGCUAGAGGGCGACCGACCUACCGGACCGGAGGCUGCCGAGAAUGUUAUGUAAAAAGGACCAAGGAGGAUCCUAUCCUAAAGGAGAAGGAGUAGGAGUAGGAGCUAGCUUUAGGGGCGGAAUCGAAUGAUUACGAGAUAAAAAAUGAGACAAAGGAGAGCACUUAGACAAUUCACUUUGAAUACUAGGAAGUCUGCUGGUAGGAAUUCCUCAGGGCGUAUUACGGUUUUUCACCGAGGGGGUAGAUCGAAGCGAUUGCAGCGAAGAAUUGAUCUGAAACGAAGCACUUCGUCAAUAGGCAUUGUAGAAAGGAUAGAAUAUGAGCCUAAUCGUUCUUCUCGAAUCGCUCCAGUGCGAUGGACCGGGGGGGGGGGUUCCGGCAGAGAAAAUGUAAGACGAUAGAAGAGUUCGCUCCGCCGCGUAAGAUCCUUGAAUCAACCACGACUACCAUCUGAGGUCCAUUUUCGUUCUCUUCCCUGCCCGGGAAGGGGGAUCAAUGAAAGGUAGCUUGCUUCUCUCCUGGACGGAUGGCAACUUAUGUAGUGGUCGGCUUUCCUACCAGAAUGCCUUUUUGGUCGAAGAGCCCCUUUUUUACUAGUGAGGACGCAGGAAGCAAAAAAACUUGCGAGAAGGCCGUUUUCUUCUCUGCCCUCUCCUCUCCAAAGGCCAAGGGAGAGACUGCAUCCCUUUCCUUCGGUAGCUCUUUUGGUUUCCCAAGGAUAGCGGUAGCUGGGGCAAAGCCCGCUUUCUUCGCUCCGCGAAUGAGAGAGAAAGUCAGAGGAAAAAACACGUUCUCUCUUUGCGAGAUCCGAAAGUGGAGAACGCAUAGCAUUCUAUGGGUACAUAGGAUCAAACGUAAAGCAGCGCUCUCUUGGCAGAGUUUUAGGCGGCAAGAGACUUUAGGGCUUGUUGGAGCUUCUGAGCGUAACGAAUCGAAGCCGAAGACGGAUCAAGGUAGCUUGCCUGCCAAGCCGAUAGGCGAAGGGCUGAAGGAUGGAACGUGCAAAGUAGAUCGUGCACCUGUCGUGUGACCCGUUGGUCCUAAGCAAUGUCUUGCGCGAAGCGACCCACUUAGAAAAAGCUCCCCUUUAUGUUAGGGGAGCACUAAAAUGCAACUUCGAUCGGAUGCGGGUAUCAAAUCCUGCCGCUGAGAUGUCCAGCGGAUUUCUGGGCCUUGACGAAUGGCCGGCCACCUUUUACUCUAGAAGAGCAAAAGGCCCAGGGCAUAGUAGGAUGAACCAAUGUGAAUGAGUGUAAGCUUCGUUGCCCGAACACGAUUGGUGCUGACCACACUAGGUGCUACCGUGGUAGCAAGAGAGGUCAGGCGGUGACAAUUGAGAGGUUGUCACUGAGCAUUCCUAGUCACACGGGAAAAGAGGUCAAAUGGCAAGGCCAUACGCCCGUUUGGCUCCUCGCGGAGUAUAGCUCACAUCCAAACAUCUGAUUGGGGAACGGGGCUACACCCAUGAAGCUCCGGCGGUAAGGGAAGGCCUGCCAGGCCGUAUGCCCAUGGGUGCAGGAUUCUUCGAUAAAGCGCGGGCUGACUCGGAGACCUGGGACCUUGUCUUAGUAAUGAAUGAAGGGAAGCUCUUCGAGCUUUCUCCGCCAGCGGCAUAUGUAGUCGUCGGCCUUAGAAAGCUCGCUAAGCCUCGCUUCCCUCUCCCCUUCACUUAUUAGUUAAGUGGAAAAUUGUCGUCGGCAUUCUAUAAGCGACUUGACCGAGUCUACGAAGCUUUGCUUUUCUUGUAGACGGCCCGUAAUGCCUCCCUUCAUUUGCUUGCCUCCUUUCAGCUUAAAAUGCCUAAUGCCUAUUAUUUAGUGCUAGAAGCUAACCGCCAUAAACUCACCCUUCGGGUCUCGCAUCCAGCGCAGGAGGCCAAGCAUUCUGCCAGACGUCCCGGCCUGGGAGCCCCGUUCGCCUUUGGUACUUCAGUAGAUCUUCUAAAAUAAAAAGCGCUACUUCAGCCUUAACUACAACUACAUUACGCAAGCCCCGCCGAUACCUACCUAUAGAGUCAAAUUAAAAUCAAAAAGUACCAGUGACGGCGACUUUCUAGGUUUAUGGAUUCAGUCAGCUAAACUCCAUCAAACUCCUCAAUCAAUAUCAACAAGAUGUCAAAAAGUACCAGUGAUGUCGACUUUCUAGGCAUAUGGAUUCAGUCAGCUAAUCUCCAUCAAACUCCUCAAUCAAUAUCAACAAGAUGUCAUGACCGCUUAGGCUUGGUUUACUUUGGUUCAAAUGUAAACUAAAAUAAGCGGCAUUUAUUCAAACAAAGGGAACCGAAGGUUUCCUUGUUUAGUAGUACGAAAAUAGUUCUACUAUUAAGAUGUUUAAUAUUAAUAAGAAAUAUUCAGUGUUGUAGCUGUAGAACAGAAUGUCGUUCGCCUUUACUUUGACUUUCUGAGAAGGACUUAAGUAGCUAAGUUUCCAAAGGUGAACACCCCCUGUCCUUUAUAGUAUAGACGUAAAGGGCUUCUCAGAAAAGUCAGGAAGAAGGCAUUCGAAAGACCGACCACUAUCUCAUAGGCAUUCUGGUGGUAAAACCGACGACUACAAGGCUCUAUACCAAGUCAUGAGCGAUAGCGAAGACAAGCCGCCGUCUAUAGGUGAAGGGAUGAAAGCCUGAUGAAGGCCUCUGCUACAGUAAGAAAAAAAGUACGUUGAGGUUUCGAAGUCACUUAGCCGUAUACUAUACAAAGGGAAAGGCGUCGGUACGGAGUCACGUCAGCUGUGGAUAUAGACUAGGCUAUAAGGAACGGAGUCAACAACUAUGGACCGAGACUACACUAAGGAACAAGGAAGCUUGACUGAGAAAAGAAGUCAAGGAACAAAGCUGCUUUUCUAAUAGCCCCGUUGAAUAGGAGGGCGAAGGCUUUUUGAAAAAGUCUUUUUUAUCUUGUAAAUGCAUUUUUUUCUAUUUAGAGAGUGGGGGCUUCAUGUUCUUAGGAAGAGCCGUACGAGACAGCUCACGUACGGUUCGGGAGCAGAGCCCCUGCGCAGGGGCUUAGGUCAACACUUAUAUAAUAGCCAGUCAUCAAUUGGAAGCGGGCAAGAUGGUGAUGAAUUGCGAUUGGUCUAAUGCUUCGACUAGCGACUUAUUGCGACCUGCCCAGAAUGCCCGUACAGACUAAGACCUUAUUCACACAGCGAAGAAAGGCCGAGUGGAAUGGGGCAGGCAGCUGGCUGCUUCUUUGCCAUGCGCUUUGCUUCGCUUUAUUUUAUAAAAGAAAGAGACCAAAUGAGAGUGAAAGGCAAGGGCAAGCGAUAGAAAGGAGAGUCCCUCGCGCGAACUACUACUACUAGAAAAUGGUGAGACCAUUAGUGAAAGAAGGACCAAGGAGGAUCCUAUCCUAAAGGAGAAGGAGGAGUAGGAGGAGUCAGUUUUCUUUGAAGAUCGAGGAACGUAGUGUCGGACAAUUAUGCCAUUCGGAAGAAGUCUUCUACAGAAGAAAAGCCUGUUACGAGUAAGUGGAGAGGAAAGAUCUCCAGGGAUUCUUAUCUCGUGCCAUUCGGAAGAAGUAUUCUACAGAAGAAAAGCCUGUUACGAGUAAUUGGAGAGGAAAGAUCUCCAGGGAUUCUUAUCUCAUUCCAUUCCAGUGGCUCAACCAGUAACCAAUGGCGAAAACUAAAAAAUCCAUGGUUUCCAGGUAGAACCCUAUUUCGCCCAAGUUAUUUCGGUACCGGAAAAAAAAAUCGGUUUUUCGCACAGCUUGCUCAUAGUGUAGGUCCCACUUGUAUAUCGUAUUUGGCCGAAGAAGCAUCGGACAGGUUGGAGUUCGUACCUUCUUGGGACUCCAUGGACCAAGAUCUGCUUUUAUUAUAUGGUCAAUACCAAUCUACUUUAGUAGAUCAUGUGGAUGUAGAAAAAGCUUCUAAUUUGGAUGAAACAGAAACAUCUCUUUUCCAUUACUAUUUACCCAGUUCAUAUCUUUGUUUCGUGUGUUCCUGGGAGGAAUUCGAUCUCGGAAUACCACCUAAAUAACUACGGCCAGAGAGUCAAAUAGGUCGGGAAGAAAGAGUCUGAGGUCGGGUCGGACGACAUACAUCUUGGUUGGUUCCACCACCACU
rnacentral:lncRNA from 1 species